rnacentral:lncRNA from 1 species
UUCCCACUUUUUAAAAUACAUUCACUGGCCCUACAAUUACAUCAAAGCAACGUUGCAUAAAAACUAGAGAGAGCUUCUAUUUCAUUGAUUAAUAAGCCAAAAGCCAAAAGGAAAAAAUUAUAUUUCAUAACUGGUCAAGCAAAAAAUUAAAUGAAAAGAUUUACCUGCACUACGACGAUGGUGCAACGAGUUGGACAUAAAAUCAGGCAAGGACCGUGAGAUUGACGAAUCACAGUUCAAUUCCUAAUUCUGAAUAUUGUAAUAAAGCAUUUGAUAAAAGGGCAAAAUAACAGAAAAAAGGAGGCUAGAUG